rnacentral:rRNA from 1 species
GAUGAACGCUGGCGGCGUGCCUAAUACAUGCAAGUCGAGCGAACGGACGAGAAGCUUGCUUCUCUGAUGUUAGCGGCGGACGGGUGAGUAACACGCGGAUAACCUACCUAUAAGACUGGGAUAACUUCGGGAAACCGGAGCUAAUACCGGAUAAUAUUUUGAACCGCAUGGUUCAAAAGUGAAAGACGGUCUUGCUGUCACUUAUAGAUGGAUCCGCGCUGCAUUAGCUAGUUGGUAAGGUAACGGCUUACCAAGGCAACGAUGCAUAGCCGACCUGAGAGGGUGAUCGGCCAAACUGGAACUGAGACACGGUCCAGACUCCUACGGGAGGCAGCAGUAGGGAAUCUUCCGCAAUGGGCGAAAGCCUGACGGAGCAACGCCGCGUGAGUGAUGAAGGUCUUCGGAUCGUAAAACUCUGUUAUUAGGGAAGAACAUAUGUGUAAGUAACUGUGCACAUCUUGACGGUACCUAAUCAGAAAGCCACGGCUAACUACGUG